rnacentral:sRNA from 1 species
UUUUCAUAUUGGGUAGAAACGGCAUUGGUGUUCC